GAUGAACGCUGGCGGCGUGCCUAAUACAUGCAAGUAGAACGCUGAAGCUUGGUGCUUGCACCGAGCGGAUGAGUUGCGAACGGGUGAGUAACGCGUAGGUAACCUGCCUCUUAGCGGGGGAUAACUAUUGGAAACGAUAGCUAAUACCGCAUAAAAGUCGACAUCGCAUGAUGUUGACUUGAAAGGCGCAAUUGCAUCAAUAAGAAAAGGACCUGCGUUGUCUUAGCUAGUUGGUGAGGUAACGGCCCAACAAGGCGACGAUACAUAGCCGGCCUGAGAGGGGGAUCGGCCACACUGGGACUUAGACCAGGCCCAGACGCCUACGGGAGGCAGCAGUAGGGAAUCUUCGGCAAUGGGGGCAACCCUGAACGAGCAACGCCGCGUGAGUGAAGAAGGUUGUCGGAUCGGAAAGCUCGGUUGUAAGGGAAGAACGAGUGUGGGAGUGGAAAGUUCACACUGUGACGGUAACUGACCAGAAAGGGACGGCUAACUACGUG
rnacentral:rRNA from 1 species